UACAGAGGUCUCAAGCGUUGUUCGGAUUCAUUGGGCGUAAAGGGUGCGUAGGCGGCGCGGUAAGUCGGGUGUGAAAUCUUGGAGCUUAACUCCGAAACUGCAUUCGAUACUGCCGUGCUUGAGGACUGGAGAGGAGACUGGAAUUUACGGUGUAGCGGUGAAAUGCGUAGAUAUCGUAAGGAAGACCAGUGGCGAAGGCGGCGCUCUGGGCCGGUACUGACACUGAGGAGCGAA
rnacentral:rRNA from 1 species